rnacentral:rRNA from 1 species
GCGUAGAGAUCGGGAAGAACAGCGGUGACGAACGCGGCUAUACUGGACGGCAAGUGACACUCAGGGACGAAAGUUAGGGGAGCGAAUGGGAUAAGAUACCCCAGUAGUCAUAGCUGUAAACGAUGGAUACUAGGCGUAGCUCGUAUCGACCCGACCUGCCCCGAAGCUAACGCGUAAACUAUCCCGCCUGGGGAGUACGCACGCAAGCGUGAAACUCAAAGGAAUUGACGGGGGCCCGCACAAGCGGUGGAGUAACCGGUUUAACUCGAUGCAACCCGAAGAACCUUACCAGGGCUGGACAUGUCCGGAAUCCCGCUGAAAGCUGGGAGUGCCUUCAGGGAGCCGGAACACAGGUGGUGCAUAGCCAGUCGUCAGCUUGUUUCGUGAGAUGUAUGGGGUUAAGUCCCGCAACGAGCCGCAACCCUUGUCUUUAGCUUGCCAGCAUUAAGUUGGGCACUCAUAGAGAGACAGCCGGUGACAAACCGGAGGAAGGUGGGGAGGACGUCAAGUCAGCAUGCACCCUGACGCUCUGGCCGACACACGUACUACGAUGGUCGGGACCAGAGGGCACCGAACCUGCGAAGGCAAGCUAAUCCCAGCAAACUCGGUCCUCAGUCCAGAUGCGCAGGCCACAAACUCGCCUGGCGCGAAGGAGGAAUCCGCUAGGAAUCCGCCGGUCAGAAUUACGGCGGUGAAUCCGUUCCCCGGGCCUUGUACACACCGCCCGUCACACACAUGGAAGCUGGCUACGCCCGAAGUCGUUACC